CAGUAGCCGCGGUAAUACGAAGGGUGCAAGCGUUACUCGGAAUUACUGGGCGUAAAGCGUGCGUAGGUGGUGGUUUAAGUCCGUUGUGAAAGCCCUGGGCUCAACCUGGGAAUUGCAGUGGAUACUGGGUCACUAGAGUGUGGUAGAGGAUAGUGGAAUUUCCGGUGUAGCAGUGAAAUGCGUAGAGAUCGGAAGGAACAUCUGUGGCGAAGGCGACUAUCUGGGCCAACACUGACACUGAGGCACGAAAGCGUGGGGAGCAAACAGGGUUAGAUACCCGUGUAGUCCCUGUCUCUUAUAA
rnacentral:rRNA from 1 species